rnacentral:lncRNA from 1 species
ACGCACGUAUUAUUCAUUCUCUACUGCAUCCCAUUAUAGAGAGUAAAAGGAGACUGCGUGUAGAUUUGGAAGAUUAUACCGCGAAAUUCAUAUUGCAUUAACUAUGUCUGAUUCAGGUACGUUUCUGCUUUAAUUCUUAUAUUUCUUGAUGAUUUAACAUGAAAGAUUCAGUAAUUUAAAACACAAAAUCAUACAACAUAUUAUUCUUCCACGAUUCAUUAACCAUUGUUAUACGCCCGGAAAAAGAUUGAACGACUUUUAAACAGAAGGGUACUUGUAUUCGAAAUCGACACAAUGGGGAGGUGGAGAAUACCUAUGAGCGCGAGACAACACUUUUUAAGGAACUCGUCAAAUCAGGAUGUUUGAUCGUACUCAAAGAAAGACGAGUUGAUAGAUAGAGUGAAAUUGUGGACAUAUGCAUGUGGUGUGAAUUACGAGUCCAGUCCACAUGUGCCAUCUGACUGACUUUGUGAUCAAAACUCUUAAAAGCAGCAAGCUGGAGACAGCUCAAACCAUAACAACCCACAUGAAGAUUACUAUUCUUUUUUCAAGAAAGCUGUGGCAUUUCAUUCCUGCCCCUAAAUUAAAGAUGACUCCCUUCCUAGCUUUGAUUCAUUAUCAUCGUCAAAUCGUCAAGUCGAAUUAUCACCAAUUCGCAUCAACACGAUCCAAAGAGUCUAUCGCAAAGCGGAUUGCUUGCCCAUUCACCUUCAGGUGUGAUUCAAAGAAGCCACAGUAAAUCGAAUAAAAGUAUUGAUUUAUAUCCACAAUUAUUGACAUAUAAAUUGAAAAAGAAGGUAGGUAUAGAUAAGAGAGAGUUGGCAGACAGAUAGGAUUGGAUUACUG